CCUACGGGGGGCUGCAGUGGGGAAUAUUGGACAAUGGGGGGAACCCUGAUCCAGCCAUGCCGCGUGUGUGAAGAAGGCCCUCGGGUUGUAAAGCACUUUCAGUGAGGAAGAACGCCUGGUGGUUAAUACCCAUCAGGAAAGACAUCACUCACAGAAGAAGCACCGGCUAACUCCGUGCCAGCAGCCGCGGUAAUACGGAGGGUGCGAGCGUUAAUCGGAAUUACUGGGCGUAAAGCGCGCGUAGGUGGCUUGAUAAGCCGGUUGUGAAAGCCCCGGGCUCAACCUGGGAACGGCAUCCGGAACUGUCAAGCUAGAGUGCAGGAGAGGAAGGUAGAAUUCCCGUUGUAGCGGUGAAAUGCGUAGAGAUCGGGAGGAAUACCAGUGGCGAAGGCGGCCUUCUGAACUGACACUGACACUGAGGUGCGAAAGCGUGGGUAGCAAACAGGAUUAGAUACCCGGGUAGUC
rnacentral:rRNA from 1 species